rnacentral:rRNA from 1 species
UACGUAGGGGGCGAGCGUUGUCCGGAUUUAUUGGGCGUAAAGAGCGUGUAGGCGGCCAGGUAGGUCUGCUGUGAAAACUCGAGGCUCAACCUCGAGACGUCGGCGGAAACCAUCUGGCUAGAGUCCGGAAGAGGAGAGUGGAAUUCCGAGUGUAGAGGUGAAAUUCGUAGAUAUUCGGAGGAACACCAGUGGCGAAGGCGGCUCACUGGUCCGGUACUGACGCUGAGACGCGAAAGCGUGGGGAGCGAACAGG